rnacentral:rRNA from 1 species
UACAGAGGGUGCGAGCGUUAAUCGGAAUUACUGGGCGUAAAGCGCACGUAGGUGGCGACGUAAGUCGGGUGUGAAAGCCCCGGGCUCAACCUGGGAAUUGCAUUCGAGACUGCAUUGCUGGAGUACGGAAGAGGAAGGCGGAAUUCCCGGUGUAGCGGUGAAAUGCGUAGAUAUGUGGAGGAACACCAAUGGCGAAGGCAGCCCCCUGGGUCAACACUGACGCUCAUGCACGAAAGCGUGGGGAGCAAACAGG